CAGUCGCCUCGGGAAUACGUAGGGUGCAAGCGUUAAUCGGAAUUACUGGGCGUAAAGCGUGCGCAGGCGGUUAUAUAAGACAGAUGUGAAAUCCCCGGGCUCAACCUGGGAACUGCAUUUGUGACUGUAUAGCUAGAGUACGGCAGAGGGGGAUGGAAUUCCGCGUGUAGCAGUGAAAUGCGUAGAUAUGCGGAGGAACACCGAUGGCGAAGGCAAUCCCCUGGGCCUGUACUGACGCUCAUGCACGAAAGCGUGGGGAGCAAACAGGAUUAGAUACCCCUGUAGUCCCUGUCUCUUAUAC
rnacentral:rRNA from 1 species